AUGUGUACUAUGGAUCAGCGCCAAUUACUUGGAAAUGUGUCCUUCUCAUGUCCACAGCCACAGACUGUCCCUGUGACUUUUCUGAGCUCCAGGAGUUAUCUGGCUCUGCCAGGCAACUCUGGUGAGGACAAAGUGUCUGUCACUUUUCAAUUUCGAACGUGGAACAGAGCAGGACAUUUGCUUUUCGGUGAACUUCGACGUGGUUCAGGGAGUUUCGUCCUCUUUCUUAAGGAUGGCAAGCUCAAACUGAGUCUCUUCCAGCCGGGACAGUCACCAAGGAAUGUCACAGCAGGUAAGAGUUGUAUUCCCAUAAACCUGACAUAUCCACACGGAAAUCAUUUGGUAAUUAGUGAGUGAGUGAGGCAGUGAGAUGCUCCAUGCCCCCACUAGAGGAACAGAUUGCUGCUUCCUUUUAGACUGUUCUGUGUGGUACACCCCGCUGCCACUAAAGUGUUCUUUUGACCAAAAUGACUAUAUAUGAGAAAUAUGAAAUGCAUAUUUCUGCAGACGUACCUUCCCAUAUACAAGGAAUACCCUUGAGCUCCAUUUCCUGACAAACAUAUACCAGCCUCCAUCCCAAAGAACUAGGGUCAGGACCUCAUGGAACAGACAAUACCUAGAGGCACAUUCCUCUCCUGUCCUCCUUCUCCUUUCCCUUCUCCGCCCCGCCGCUCAGGGUCUGUGCACAAAUAUUCUAUACACAGUAGGCAAUUGAUAACUAUCACUUUACAGGGAAAGAUGCCCGGCAAAUACCAAGAGUUCUUAUUCUUUCGUUGAUGGCUGAUUCGUUUUCUGGGAUAGCCGGGCACCCUGGAAGAAUCUCAGCUCCUCCACUUACUGCCCUUCUGAAAUGUAAAUCACGAAGCCUCCUAAGCCUCAGCUGUUUUCACUUGUGAAGUGGUAAACCUCAGAUCUCCUUUGCAGGGAGAACAAUAGGAAGUCUGAUUUUAUUAGCACAAUGCCCACCCCACACACAGGCCCUCACAUCCCCACUCCCCAUCAGGGCCUGUUUUUGUUGGGCAAAUGCUAGGUUAGGGGCUCAAAUCCCAUGAAGCCAGACUGAGUUACAAUAGAUGGGAACUAAUCUCACAUGCAGUCAGAUGUGGGCAAGUUUGUUAACUACAGAGCUGCUGGAUUUUGAUGAUUGGAUUUGCAGAUGGGAGGAGCACUGGGUCCUAAAUUGACAUUGUGCCUAAAUUGGCAUCGGAACUAAAUGCGGGCUUUAAAAAAAAAAGCGUAAUCUGAAAAAGAAAAAGGCACAGACGAAGAGGCUGACUUCUGCUUGAGACCAGGGGGUUAUCAUACUCAAAAAAAGAUUCCUUUUGGCUGUAAGAGGCACACGUGACUAUACUGCUAUUAAAUGUUGUGGUAUGAA
rnacentral:lncRNA from 1 species